UGCAGCAGCAUACCACCCUGCAUCCCACUGCUGGCUUGCCUCUGAAGCUAAGCAGGGUGGGUCCUGGAUGGGAGACCAGAUGCUGCUGGAA
rnacentral:rRNA from 1 species